UCCUGGGUGGCUCAGUCAGUUGAGCAUCUGACUUCAGCUCAGGUCAUGAUCUCGUGGUUCGCGGGUUCGAGCCCUGCGUCAGGCU
rnacentral:tRNA from 1 species